CUCCAGGAAAGGGGGACGGACGACUGGGGGUCAUCAACAAGAGUCAAAGGCUCCCGUCCUGUACCCCAAAGUCCAUACCCGGACACACCGCCAUCUUCUGGCGAAAUUGUUGGUCAUAGCGGAACCAGCAUUGACCCCCAUAAACCUUGUACGCCCCCCAUAUAAGGUCUAAGUAUCCAAACAACGCCGGUGCCUUCUCAGGGAAGGCCCGCGUCAGCACACUCGCAAAUAUUGAGAACCCUUGAAGCCAGUUCCCAAACGUACGCGGCAGCUGCUUGCUCUUCUCGCCGUCUGCCGCCUCACCCCGUC